rnacentral:misc_RNA from 1 species
UCCGGUUUAGACCGGCGGUCUCCCUAGAGAAUUCAACUAAGGACAAGGGUUGCGCUCGUUGCGGGACUUAACCCAACACCUCACGGCACGAGCUGACGACAGCCAUGCAGCACCUGUGGUCGGUUCCGGACUGGAUACCGUUGGCCGGCCGUUUCCGGCGGCUACUUCCGACCCCUUUCGGACAUGUCAAGCCCAGGAUAAGGUUCUUCGCGUAGCCUCGAAUUAAGCCACAUGCUCCACCGCUUGUGUGAGCCCCCGUCAAUUCCUUUGAGUUUCAGUCUUGCGACCGUACUCCCCAGGCGGCGAACUUAACGCGUUAGCUUCGAUACUGCGUGCCAAAUUGCACCCAACAUCCAGUUCGCAUCGUUUAGGGCGUGGACUAC